CCAUUUCUUGGGCUGCUCCUUCGACAUAUGGAGGUUCCCAAGCUAGGGGUCUAAUCGGAGCUGUAGCCACCAGCCUACUCCAGAGCCAUAGCAACGCCAGAUCCUUAACCCACUGAGCAAGGCCAGGGAUCGAACCCGCAACCUCAUGGUUCCUAGUCAGAUUCGUUAACCCCUGAGCCACGAUGGGAACUCCCAGAAAUUUCACCUUUACUAAUGCAAAAUGUGUUGGAGUUUUGUAAGAGCUGUGUAGAAUGGUUUCUCUUGAAAGAACUUGGAAAACUGUCAUUGUCUCAUAAUAAUUAUGGAGUUAGUCCAUAAUCCAUACAUCAUUUUAUGAAAUCGAAGAACAGGCAAAAGGGAUCUGUGGGGAGAGAAAUCGUAAUUGUGAGUUUCUGGGAUAGAAAGAAGAGGGAUAGAAUGGAGGAGAGACUGCAGAGAACCUCCUAGGAUGAUGAUGUCCUCAGCUGGAAUACUGGCUACAUGGAUAUCUGCAUUUGUCAAGGAAUGGAAAAGUACAAGGAACUAGAUAGCAAUUAUAUAAUAGACUCUUGUAGAGAAUCAUUCAGGGAUUUAAGAAAAAGGGCUCUUACAGCUGAUAUUGUAGAUAACGAAGAUCACUUUAGAAGUAACGUUUAAGAACAACCAUAGAUUGGAAGCAUAAUUAUAAAGAAAUACCUUCUGUUUUCCUUUUAGCUAUUCUGUUUAUGUUUUAAAAGUAAUACAUUAUUUAAGGAAAUCUAAAAAACCCAUCACACUGUCACUGUCACUGUCACUGUAUGCAAUUAUGAACCUAUAAUAUAUACAUAAAAAGUAUAUAACAGGGAGUUCCUCUCAUGGCCCAGCAGAAAUAAAUCUGACUAGUAUCCAUGAGGAUGCAGGUUCGAUCCCUGGCCUCACUCAGUGGGUUAAGGAUCCAGCGUUGCCAUGAGCUGUGGUGUAAGCCAGCGGCUACAGCUCUGAUUUGACCCCUAGCCUGGGAGCCUCCAUAUGCUACAGGUGUGGACCUUAAAAAAUACAAUAACAAAAAAAAACAUUAGGGCAUCAGAGAAAAGCAGUCUGUUUCAAGCAGUUUGAAAUUAGCAGUGCUCCCAAGGAGAUUUAGGGAAAAGUCAGUCUUACCAACACCCAUGACCUAUUAAUUUUCUACUGGCAAGUCUUUCCAUAUUGUGGAAAAGGGGCACCACUACCCUUUAUCCAGGUUCCACUGGAAACAAGUACCACUGGCUCCCAGACUUCCAUGCACAUAAAUAUCACCUUGGAUGCUUGUUAAAAAUGCAGUCUCUGGGUCUGUAUCUGAAGGUUUUGAUGCUACAAAUCUAAGUUAGUGUCUAGGAAUUUCCAUUUUAGUGAACAUACUUGGUGAGACUGAUAUAGGUAGCCAACGGACUUAUACUUUGAGAAACACCUCAUUAAUAAUCAAAUCAUAAAACUAGUUCCUGCUUCCUCUAAUUUCAGGCUCUCUGGGUAACCUUCUAAAAAUAGAGCCUUUAUGCCUUCACAAAGAAAACAUGCUGUUUAUAGCAAUAUGUGUAUGUGACAGAAUCUUUUCUCAUUCUAAAAAAGGAAUAGGCAUCGGUUUUGUACCUCAAUCUGAUGAUCUU
rnacentral:lncRNA from 1 species